GAUGAACGCUGGCGGCGUGCCUAAUACAUGCAAGUCGAGCGAACAGACGAGGAGCUUGCUCCUCGGACGAUAGCGGCGGACGGGUGAGGAACACGAGGAUAACCUACCUAAAAGACUGGGAUAACUUCGGGAAACCGGAGCUAAUACCGGAUAAUAUAUUGAACCGCAUGGUUCAAUAGUGAAAGACGGUUUUGCUGUCACCUAUAGAUGGAUCCGCGCCGCAUUAGCUAGUUGGUCAGGUAAAGGCUUACCAAGGCAACGAGGCGUAGCCGACCUGGGAGCGUGUCCGGCCGCAUUGGCAGCGACACACGCUCCGGGCUCCUGCGGCCGGCCCUAGUAGGGGCUCUUCCGCGAUAGGCGCCAGCCUGGCGGGACGUCGCCGGGUGAGUCGUGACGUUCUUCGGAUCGUACUUCUCUGUUUUUAGUGAUGAACAGAUGUGUAAGUAACUAUGCACGUCUUGACGGUUCCUCAUCUGAUAGCCCCGGCUAACUACGUG
rnacentral:rRNA from 1 species